GAUGAAGAACGUAGCGAAAUGCGAUAAGUAAUGCGAAUUGCAGAUCUCCGUGAGUCAUUGAAUCUUUGAACGCACAUUGCGCCCGCCAGUAUUCUGGCGGGCAUGCCUGUUCGAGCGUCAUUUCAACCAUCAAGCCCCCGGCUUGUGUUGGGGACCUGCGGCUGCCGCAGGCCCUGAAAAGCAGUGGCGGGCUCGCUGUCACACCGAGCGUAGUAGCAUACAUCUCGCUCCGGGCGUGCUGCGGGUUCCGGCCGUUAAACCACCUUCAUAACCCAAGGUUGACCUCGGAUCAGGUAGGAAGACCCGCUGAACUUAAGCAUAUCAAUAAGCGGAGGA
rnacentral:misc_RNA from 1 species